CCUACGGGAGGCAGCAGUGAGGAAUAUUGGUCAAUGGUCGGGAGACUGAACCAGCCAAGCCGCGUGAGGGAGGAAGGUACAGAGUAUCGUAAACCUCUGUUGUCAGGGAACAAAGACUGGGACGCGUCCCCGGAUGAGUGUACCUGAAGAAAAAGCAUCGGCUAACUCCGUGCCAGCAGCCGCGGUAAUACGGAGGAUGCGAGCGUUAUCCGGAUGUAGUGGGUUUAAAGGGUGCGCAGGCGGUCUGUUAAGUCAGCGGUCAAAGCCCGGGGCUCCCCCCCGGCCCGCCGUUGAAACUGGCAGUCUCGCGUUGGAGUGACGUAUGCGGUAUGCGCGUUGUAGCGGUGCACUGCAUCGCUAUCGCGCAGAACUCCGAUUGCGAAGGCAGCAUGCCGGCUCCACACUGACGCUGAGGCACGAACGCGUGGGUAUCGAACAGGAUUAGAUACCCUGGUAGUC
rnacentral:rRNA from 1 species